rnacentral:rRNA from 1 species
GAGAGUUUGAUCCUGGCUCAGGACGAACGCUGGCGGCGUGCUUAACACAUGCAAGUUGUACGGUCUUGUGCUAUUGAAUCUCCUUCGGGAGUGGAGAGGUGCGAGACAGUAGCGAACGGGUGAGUAACGCGCGAGGACCUGCCCCGAGGGGGGGGACAGCAGCUGGAAACGGCUGGUAAUACCCCGUAUGCCGAGAGGUGAAAGGGCCCUUUUUGGGUCCGCCUUUGGAUGGACUCGCGUCCUAUCAGCUAGUUGGCGGGGUAACGGCCUGCCAAGGCGACGACGGGUAGCCGGCCUGAGAGGGUGUCCGGCCACACUGGAACUGAGACACGGUCCAGACUCCUACGGGAGGCAGCAGUGGGGAAUUUUGGGCAAUGGGGGAGACCCUGACCCAGCGACGCCGCGUGCGGG